rnacentral:lncRNA from 1 species
AUGCAAGGUCGGGCCCGGCCACGGCUCCCUCUGAGGAUGGCCCCGAGGAGCCAGCUCGUGGCCCGGCCUCGCGUUGGUGCCGUGGAGGUGCUGGAUCAGCCCCUGCUUCCCACAGCAUCUCCAGGGUCUGCCACGCAUCCAGCGUGCACCCACUGUGCAUCUGCCCUGCAUCUGCCCUGCAGCCCCCGUGUCUCUGCUGUGCAUCCAUCACGCAUCUGUCCUGCACCCGCUGUGCUUCUGCUGUGCUUCUGCUCUGCAUCUGCUGCACACCCACCCUGCAACUGCUUUGCAGCCACUGUGAAUCCUCCGUGCAUCCACCAUGCAUCCUCUGUGCAUCCUCUGUGCAUCCUCCGUGCAUCCUCUGUGCAACCAUUGUGCAUCCUCUGUGUAUCCUCUGUGCAUCCUCUUUGCAUCCUCUGUGCAUCCUCUGUGCAACCAUUGUGCAUCCUCUGUGCAUCCUCUGUGCUUCUGCUGUGCUUCUGCCGUGCAUCUGCUGCACACCCACCCCGCACCCUCUGUGAGCCCCCUGUGCAUCCGUUGUGCAUCUGCUGUGCAUCUGCUGCACAUCCUCUGUGCGCCCGCCGUGCAUCUGCCGCGCGCUCGCUGUGCGCUCGCCGCGCAUCCCUCGCACAGCCCCUGCACAGGGGCAGGGCACCCCCUGCCCGUUCUCUGUGCACCAAAGGGGCCCAAUUCGACCCAAAUGGGACCAAUUUGACUCAAAUGGGACCAAUUCGAUGCCCCCCUGCACACGCUGAGGACACAUCGGGUGGCAGGGACGAGGCCAAGCACAGUGCCCGGUGCUUUCUGCUGUCCCCUGGGUGGCUCUGGGGAGGCUGCAGAGCUGGAAGCACUGCUGGCCAUGGGAUGGAGAGGACAGAAGCGUGGCUGUGCCACCCCAGCAGGAAAACUGAGCACGGCACACCAUCCCCUAGCAGCUCCCCAUUAGUCUGGAGGGGGGCACGGUGA